rnacentral:rRNA from 1 species
UCCACGCAGUAAACGAUGAAUGUUAGUCGUCGGGGGCCUAGUGUCUUCGGUGAUGCAGCUAACGCAUUAAACAUUCCGCCUGGGGAGUACGGCCGCACUAUUGAAACUCAAAGGAAUUGACGGGGGCCCGCACAAGCGGUGGAGCAUGUGGUUUAAUUCGAUGAUACGCGAGGAACCUUACCUAGCCUUGACAUUGAAGAAACACACUAGAGAUAGAGUGGUGCCCUUCGGGG